rnacentral:tRNA from 1 species
AGGGCUAUAGCUCAGCUGGGAGAGCGCCUGCCUUGCACGCAGGAGGUCAGCGGUUCGAUCCCGCUUAGCUCCA